rnacentral:pre_miRNA from 7 species
UUGUGUGUCAACUUGACACUGUAAGACCCCCUUUCGGGGACUCCCAUUCUAGUCUCAGGAGUGAGAGAGCACCCAAAGAAACACGAGGACCC